rnacentral:rRNA from 1 species
GACGAACGUUGGCGGCGUGCUUAACACAUGCAAGUCGAACGGAAAGGCCCUGCUUUUGUGGGGUGCUCGAGUGGCGAACGGGUGAGUAACACGUGAGUAACCUGCCCUUGACUUUGGGAUAACUUCAGGAAACUGGGGCUAAUACCGGAUAGGAGCUCCUGCUGCAUGGUGGGGGUUGGAAAGUUUCGGCGGUUGGGGAUGGACUCGCGGCUUAUCAGCUUGUUGGUGGGGUAGUGGCUUACCAAGGCUUUGACGGGUAGCCGGCCUGAGAGGGUGACCGGCCACAUUGGGACUGAGAUACGGCCCAGACUCCUACGGGAGGCAGCAGUGGGGAAUAUUGCACAAUGGGCGGAAGCCUGAUGCAGCAACGCCGCGUGCGGGAUGACGGCCUUCGGGUUGUAAACCGCUUUCGCCUGUGACGAAGCGUGAGUGACGGUAAUGGGUAAAGAAGCACCGGCUAACUACGUGCCAGCAGCCGCGGUGAUACGUAGGGUGCGAGCGUUGUCCGGAUUUAUUGGGCGUAAAGGGCUCGUAGGUGGUUGAUCGCGUCGGAAGUGUAAUCUUGGGGCUUAACCCUGAGCGUGCUUUCGAUACGGGUUGACUUGAGGAAGGUAGGGGAGAAUGGAAUUCCUGGUGGAGCGGUGGAAUGCGCAGAUAUCAGGAGGAACACCAGUGGCGAAGGCGGUUCUCUGGGCCUUUCCUGACGCUGAGGAGCGAAAGCGUGGGGAGCGAACAGGCUUAGAUACCCUGGUAGUCCACGCUGUAAACGGUGGGUACUAGGUGUGGGGUCCAUUCCACGGGUUCCGUGCCGUAGCUAACGCUUUAAGUACCCCGCCUGGGGAGUACGGCCGCAAGGCUAAAACCCAAAGGAAUUGACGGGGCCCCGCACAAGCGGCGGAGCAUGCGGAUUAAUUCGAUGCAACGCGUAGAACCUUACCUGGGUUUGACAUGGAUCGGGAGUGCUCAGAGAUGGGUGUGCCUCUUUUGGGGUCGGUUCACAGGUGGUGCAUGGCUGUCGUCAGCUCGUGUCGUGAGAUGUUGGGUUAAGUCCCGCAACGAGCGCAACCCUUGUUCACUGUUGCCAGCACGUUAUGGUGGGGACUCAGUGGAGACCGCCGGGGUCAACUCGGAGGAAGGUGGGGAUGACGUCAAGUCAUCAUGCCCCUUACGUCCAGGGCUUCACGCAUGCUACAAUGGCUGGUACAGAGAGUGGCGAGCCUGUGAGGGUGAGCGAAUCUCGGAAAGCCGGUCUCAGUUCGGAUUGGGGUCUGCAACUCGACCUCAUGAAGUCGGAGUCGCUAGUAAUCGCAGAUCAGCAACGCUGCGGUGAAUACGUUCCCGGG